CGCGGCCUAUCAGCUUGUUGGUGAGGUAACGGCUCACCAAGGCGACGACGGGUAGCUGGUCUGAGAGGAUGAUCAGUCACACUGGAACUGAGACACGGUCCAGACACCUACGGGUGGCAGCAGUCGAGAAUCAUUCGCAAUGGGGGAAACCCUGACGGUGCGACGCCGCGUGGAGGAUGACGGCUCUAGGGUUGUAAACUCCUGUCAUGAGAGAGUAAAGGCUUGCCGUUAAUAGCGGUCGGGUCCUGAUAGUAUCUCAAGAGGAAGGGACGGCUAACUUCGUGCCAGCAGCCGCGGUAAUACGAAGGUCCCAGGCGUUGUUCGGAAUCACUGGGCGUAAAGCGAGCGUAGGCGGCACGGUCAGUCAGAUGUGAAAGCCCGGGGCUCAACCCCGGAACUGCAUCCGAUACUGCCGAGCUAGAGUAGUGGAGGGGAGUCUGGAAUUCACGGUGUAGCAGUGAAAUGCGUGGAUAUCGUGAGGAACACUAGUGGCGAAGGCGAGACUCUGGACACUUACUGACGCUGAGGCUCGAAGGCUAGGGUAGCGAAAGGGAUUAGAUACCCCUGUAGUCCUAGCAGUAAACGGUGCGCGUUUGGUGUGGGCGGGUUCGACCCCGUCCGUGCCGGAGCUAACGCGUUAAACGCCCCGCCUGGGGAGUACGG
rnacentral:rRNA from 1 species